rnacentral:rRNA from 1 species
GUAGGGAAUCUUGCGCAAUGGGCGAAAGCCUGACGCAGCCAUGCCGCGUGAAUGAUGAAGGUCUUAGGAUUGUAAAAUUCUUUCACCGGGGACGAUAAUGACGGUACCCGGAGAAGAAGCCCCGGCUAACUUCGUGCCAGCAGCCGCGGUAAUACGAAGGGGGCUAGCGUUGCUCGGAAUUACUGGGCGUAAAGGGAGCGUAGGCGGAUAGUUUAGUCAGAGGUGAAAGCCCAGGGCUCAACCUUGGAAUUGUCUUUGAUACUGGCUAUCUUGAGUAUGGAAGAGGUAUGUGGAACUCCGAGUGUAGAGGUGAAAUUCGUAGAUAUUCGGAAGAACACCAGUGGCGAAGGCGACAUACUGGUCCAUUACUGACGCUGAGGCUCGAAAGCGUGGGGAGCAAACAGGAUUAGAAACCCUGGUAGUCC